UCCGUAGGUGAACCUGCGGAAGGAUCAUUACAAGUUGAAACGGUUGCCCUCGCGGUGACCGGUUCUUCAAACCUCUGCGUACCAAACCUUUCAGUUGCCUCCGGCGGCCCUGGGCCGACGCGGCGCGCGACCUCCCCCUUCGCGGGGGGGCCGCUCCUCGCGGCGGACCACCCGCCGGGCGGUCAUAAACAAAACCUUUUUGUCGAGAUGGCAUCGUCUAAUUUCUUCAUAACAAAAUAUGAAAUACAACUUUUAACAAUGGAUCUCUUGGCUCCGGCAUCGAUGAAGAACGCAGCGAAAUGCGAUAACUAGUGUGAAUUGCAGAUUUCAGUGAAUCAUCGAGUCUUUGAACGCACAUUGCGCCUCUUGGUAUUCCUCGAGGCAUGCCUGUUCGAGCGUCGUUACGCCCCUCAAGCGCAAGCUUGGUGUUGGGGAUCGCCCCUGAGAUACGGCGGCGGCCCUUAAAUGCAUCGGCGGUGCUGGUGUCAGCCCGGAGCGCAGCAGACAUGCGGCUUCCAGGCGACCACGCGCCCGCCGGACAACGACCCGACUUUCAAACGUCGACCUCGGAUCAGGUAGGGAUACCCGCUGAACUUAAGCAUAUCAAUAAGCGGAGGA
rnacentral:rRNA from 1 species